UACAGAGGUCUCAAGCGUUGUUCGGAUUCAUUGGGCGUAAAGGGUGCGUAGGCGGCGCGGUAAGUCGGGUGUGAAAUCUCGGAGCUUAACUCCGAAACUGCAUUCGAUACUGCUGUGCUUGAGGACUGGAGAGGAGACUGGAAUUUACGGUGUAGCGGUGAAAUGCGUAGAUAUCGUAAGGAAGACCAGUGGCGAAGGCGGGUCUCUGGACACUUCCUGACACUGAGGCACGAAAGCUAGGGGAGCAAACAGG
rnacentral:rRNA from 1 species